GACGAACGCUGGCGGCGUGCUUAACACAUGCAAGUCGAACGGAAAGGCCCUGCUUUUGUGGGACGCUCGAGUGGCGAACGGGUGAGUAACACGUGAGUAACCUGCCCUUGACUUUGGGAUAACUUCAGGUAACUGGGGCUAAUACCGUAUCGGAUCCUCUCCUGCAUGGUGGGGGUUGGAUAGUUUCGGCGGUUGGGGAUGGACUCGCGGCUUAUCAGCUUGUUGGUGGGGUAGUGGCUUACCAAGGCUUGGACGGGUAGCCGGCCUGCGAGGGUAACCGGCCACAUUGGGACUGAGAUACGGCCCAGACUCCUACGGGAGGCAGCAGGGGGGAAUAUUGCACAAUGGGCGGAAGCAUGAUGCAGCAACGCCGCGUGCGGGAGGACGGCCUUCGGGUUGUAAACCGCUUUCGCCUGUGACGAAGCGUGAGGGACGGUAAUGGGUAAAGAAGCACCGGCUAACUACGUG
rnacentral:rRNA from 1 species